GGCAAAUCAAGGUUAUUUUCUGUGUCUGGCCAAGCCGGGAUCCAAGGUACCUCCGGGCUGUCGCCAGCGCGUCCGUUGUCGCAUGGUAGGGGGCCACACCAGAGCAGAACCUGCAGAACGAAAAGGCAUCGUAGGGUAUCAGAGUGGCGGCAUCUGUGCCUAUAUUCCGAAGGCCAGUGCAAGCACUAUUGCACCCAUACAAGCACUACUCUACAAGGAUGACAAUGACCGCUGAGUGGCGUUCCCACGUCAACGUCAAGGAACUUUGCACCAGCCGCUGGGCUCGUUCGCUUCUCGGUGACAGUGCACUUCUCAGCAAGU